UAUGAACGCUAGCGGGAGGCUUAAUACAUGCAAGUCGUACGGUAACAGGCGUAGCAAUACGUGCUGACGAGUGGCGCACGGGUGAGUAACACGUACGCAAUCUACCUUUAACUGAGGAAUAGCUCCGGGAAACUGGAAUUAAUACCUCAUAACAUCUUGAUGUGGCAUCACAUUAAGAUUAAAACUCCGGUGGUUAAAGAUGAGCGUGCGUCUGAUUAGGUAGUUGGUAGGGUAACGGCCUACCAAGCCAACGAUCAGUAGCUGGCGUGAGAGCGCGAUCAGCCACACGGACACUGAGACACGGGUCCGACUCCUACGGGAGGCAGCAGUAGGGAAUAUUGGACAAUGGGCGAAAGCCUGAUCCAGCCAUCUCGCGUGAAGGAUGAAGGCCCUCUGGGUUGUAAACUUCUUUUAUCAGGGAAGAAACCCUUGGAUUCACUCCGAGGCUGACGGUACCUGAAGAAUAAGCACCGGCUAACUCCGUGCCAGCAGCCG
rnacentral:rRNA from 1 species